GCUAUAAUGCAGUCGAGCGGUGGAUUGAGAGCUUGCUCUCAAGAAGUUAGCGGCGGACGGGUGAGUAACACGUGGGUAACCUGCCCAUAAGACUGGGAUAACUCCGGGAAACCGGGGCUAAUACCGGAUAAUAUUUUGAACUGCAUGGUUCGAAAUUGAAAGGCGGCUUCGGCUGUCACUUAUGGAUGGACCCGCGUCGCAUUAGCUAGUUGGUGAGGUAACGGCUCACCAAGGCAACGAUGCGUAGCCGACCUGAGAGGGUGAUCGGCCACACUGGGACUGAGACACGGCCCAGACUCCUACGGGAGGCAGCAGUAGGGAAUCUUCCGCAAUGGACGAAAGUCUGACGGACAACGCCGCGUGAGUGAUGAAGGCUUUCGGGUCGUAAAACUCUGUUGUUAGGGAAGAACAAGUGCUAGUUGAAUAAGCUGGCACCUUGACGGUACCUAACCAGAAAGCCACGGCUAACUACGUGCCAGCAGCCGCGGUAAUACGUAGGUGGCAAGCGUUAUCCGGAAUUAUUGGGCGUAAAGCGCGCGCAGUGGUUUCUUAAGUCUGAUGUGAAAGCCCACGGCUCAACCGUGGAGGGUCAUUGGAAACUGGGAGACUUGAGUGCAGAAGAGGAAAGUGGAAUUCCAUGUGUAGCGGUGAAAUGCGUAGAGAUAUGGAGGAACACCAGUGGCGAAGGCGACUUUCUGGUCUGUAACUGACACUGGAGGCGCGAAAGCGUGGGGAGCAAACAGGAUUAAAUACCCUGGUAGUCCACGCCAUAAACGAUGAGG
rnacentral:rRNA from 2 species